CAGUGGGGUUUUUGCAAUGACAUCAUCUCUCUGUCCAAAAGGCCCCAAUAGCCAUGCUCAGGAGCGCUGCAUACUGGGAAUUGUAGUCUUCUGACGGCCUGUUGGGACCCUGAGGCUAUUGCCGGAACUACAAUGCCCAAAAUGCGCCAAGGUCGGACGCAUCCAGAGCGGACCCAGCGAGUGAAGGAAACUCUGCCGCCAUGACAGGAGUACCGGGACGUUUCUGCGGAGCCGGGCUGAGGUUUUGGGGAGCGCGCAAGCAGAGUGGUAGUGUGUUGGGGACGAAUGAUUUACAAAAGGGUCCAAAGAAAUCGAUGUUGGAAAGGUAAACAAGUGCUUUGGGACUGACGGUGCUUUGCAGCUGCAAUUGAGAAAAGAUAAGGAGCAACCUAAAAGAGUAUACCUACCAGCAAAAGGAGGGAAAUGUUGAAGGGGGAUAUUAUUGACGUUUGGCGAUCGGUUCCCGAGUGGCACGCGUUCUUGGGUCAACCUAGAGUACACGCUAAAAUACUGCAGAGUUGAGAUGUUCAUUAGCAUGGAUGAACAUCCAUGCUUACUUAAAUUUGUAAUACUCCAUAUUUACAACUACUUUAACAACUUUUUUAAACUAAUAACAAACCAAAAUCACUGGUCUUUAUUUUGUCUAGUAUCUCGAACUGUUGUAGGUUUUUUUUAAAUCAAUUGUGUUACUAAAACAAUGCUCUUGUUUAUUUUUCAGAGUCUGUCUACACUAUGGAAAGAUGGGAGAUCUCUCCUCCUGAGUGUGUCUGAAGGGUUAAAAAUGCUGCUAUACUUUGUGCUCUUUUUCUUCCUCUCUUUUGCACUUUAUUCCGAAAACAAAAUUAAUUAGUUACUUUGGGUCAGUAAGGUAUGCACUUCAACCUGUAAGGAGUUGAUACAACUGUAGCUGAUAGAUAAAUUCUCUUACCAAAAAAGGCUAGGCACAAUGAUUACAAAUGCUAAAAACAUGGUAGGAAUAGUCUCUUAAAUGUACACAGAUAACUACAAAAAUAGUUUUAUGAACAAUCAUCGUAUAUGUCAUGUUUCUGGGAACAAGUCCCAAGAUGAGUGGGUUUGUUUUAUUUUAAAACAAAGGUAAUAUGUAUUGGUCUCAUUUAUUCAUGAAUACAACAGUGGGAAAGACUCAUGCAAAUAAUUCUGUCAUUCAAAAAUACCUUUGCAAGUAAUGGUGGUAAGUAUAGGAAAAGGAAAAAAUGUUUACUAGUUUCUUUCUAAUCUUCAAUAUAACUAAAGAAGUGUUUUAAACUUAAUAGACUAGAGAGGUUCACAUUUAGGCUUAUUUUCAAGCUCUUAAAUUAUUUUCAUUCAGGCUGUUUUUGUGUCCUGUACAAAAUUAUAGUGAAUUUUGUUCAUUUUAUAAGAUAUUUCUUUAUAUAAGCAAUAACUUCCUCAAUUUGAGUUACUGUGGAGGACAUAUUUGUGGGGGAAGAAACCCCAACAGAUUUCUCAGAAAUCUCAUGUUUGAGAAGUGAGACCUGUGUAAUGCACUGAUUUCUGUAAUGUGUCAUGUGUUUGGGUAGUUUGAAGUUUUUCCAGUCUUAUAGUCAGUGGACAUCUAACAAUAAAGAAACAGAUCUAGCUAAUAUCUACAAAAGACUCUAUGGUUUAACCCUUAAUUUUUAGGGG